AUUGAACGCUGGCGGCAGGCUUAACACAUGCAAGUCGAGCGGGGUGAUGGUGCUUGCACUAUCACUUAGCGGCGGACGGGUGAGUAAUGCUUAGGAAUCUGCCUAUUAGUGGGGGACAACAUCUCGAAAGGGAUGCUAAUACCGCAUACGUCCUACGGGAGAAAGCAGGGGAUCACUUGUGACCUUGCGCUAAUAGAUGAGCCUAAGUCGGAUUAGCUAGUUGGUGGGGUAAAGGCCUACCAAGGCGACGAUCUGUAGCGGGUCUGAGAGGAUGAUCCGCCACACUGGGACUGAGAAACGGCCCAGACUCCUACGGGAGGCAGCAGUGGGGAAUAUUGGACAAUGGGGGGAACCCUGAUCCAGCCAUGCCGCGUGUGUGAAGAAGGCCUUAUGGUUGUAAAGCACUUUAAGCGAGGAGGAGGCUUACCUAGUUAAUACCUGGGAUAAGUGGACGUUACUCGCAGAAUAAGCACCGGCUAACCCUGUGCCAGCAGCCGCAGUAA
rnacentral:rRNA from 1 species